rnacentral:rRNA from 1 species
GACGGGGGGGGCAAGUGUUCUUCGGAAUGACUGGGCGUAAAGGGUGCGUAGGUGGUCUUUCAAGUCGGUGGUUAAAGGCUACGGCUCAACCGUAUUAAGCCGCCGAAACUGGAAGACUUGAGUGCAGGAGAGGAAAGUGGAAUUCUCAGUGUAGCGGUGAAAUGCGUAGAUAUUGAGAAGAACACCAGUAGCGAAGGCGGCUUUCUGGACUGUAACUGACACUGAGGCACGAAAGCGUGGGUAGCAAACAGG